CUCCUCCCUUUUUGUUGUUUUAUGAUUAACCUCUUUUCCUUCGCUAACCCAAUGGAUAUAAUUAUAUUUUCAUUCAAAGCUAUAAUUUGUACCGAACGUUACGAUUAGAUUUCUCUGUCUUUGAUAUGUUUGUCAUGAAAUUGGAGGAGUGUGGUGAUUCCAGGAUUUUCAGGACAUAAGGAAACUUUUGCCUGAAAUGGGGUUGAUGAGUGAGAAAUUAACUAAAUAAAUGUAUAUUUCCCUCUUCGGAUCCCUUUAUUCCCCCUGAAGUUGAUGGGUCAUUUACAACUUACAUAAUAUACCCGACCAGACCUUAAAGAAAUCCUUGCUGUUUUACUCUGCUUUAUAAUGCGUGCAUGUGCAUGCUGAUUGAAACAUUUGUAUACUUUUAGGUUUGUACAUAACAAAACUGAAUGUAACAUGUCAAGUGAUCGAACAUCAGUCUUGCAUUUUAUGUCGGAUUAAAUCACUACUGAUCAAUUCUUAUCAAAAUUCACCGUCUUUGAAUAAAACCGUAUACAUUUCUAACAUUUAAAAAAUUAUUAUUGAGAUUGUGUUUAAAAUUCAGAUGUAAGUGUGAUAUGUCUCAUGUUGUGUAAGAGAAUCUAUCUAACCAUAACGUACUAUUAUAUAUUGUAAACUAUUAAAUGUUAUUUAGUGUGUACAAUAGAUGAUAUAUAAUUAAAGCAGAUAUGAUACGACAAACACAGUUAUGCAGAACAGUAUGAAUUGCUCCGUAUCAGAUUUUGAAAGUAUGUUAAUACAACAGCCUCGACUGAUUUGAUACUUUUAUGAACUGCGUUUAUUUCAAUAAAAAGAAAUAUCCUGUCAAUUUUUAAAUAUAUUUCGGGUUUUAAAAACAAUCGUUUGGUAGCAAAGUUCAUAGUUUUUAAUAGUAAAGAAACUUAAUAUCUUUAUAAAACGUAAAAUUAUCCUGAAUUAUUUCCUGUUGUAAACAAAUUACGUUAUUUGACACCGAAUGAACAUAUAUUGUCUUCUUUGUUUCCGUAUUUUUUUUUUUUUAUUGUGUCAGUGCUUAACACAAAAAUGUGCAGGCGAGUACUUUGCAGACAUUGAAGGUCGUACAUUGACCUAUAAUGGUUUACUUUUAUAAAUUGUUAUUUGGAUGGAGAGUUGUCUCAUUUGUACUCAUACCUCAUCUUCCUAUAUCAGUUUCCUGUUGUACUUUUGUAAAUUCAUUGCUUGUUCUGUUUAAUUGUUAUAAACUGUCAUUUUAAACAAUGAACAAAUUGUAUUAUUUUUAAGACCUGGUCAAGGUGUCAUAAGGAAAAAUACAGUUACAUUUCACAGUAUUGCUUCAUUUCAUUAGCAUUACACAUUGAUUUUCCACUUUUGUUAGAAAUACCAUACUGUUACAAAAACUUCUUAUUGUUUGUCUUUGUUUUUCAGAGCUGUCAUUCAAAUAUUUUACUACAAC
rnacentral:lncRNA from 1 species